UCGUGUCUGAGCAGGACUGUGUUGUAGAUCUCCGUCUCCCGGAACCAGGACUGCUCGUCCCUGGAGGAGAAGAUCUUGACAGCCACGCUCUCCCCGUGCCACAGGCCCCGCCACACCUCGCCGUAGCGGCCUUUUCCUGCUCCAGCGGCCGCAGAGGAGGGAGAGGGUCACACACUGGCCACAGCCCCACCCGGGAGCCAUGCUCAGACCACUUGCGGAGCCCACUUACAUGCUGGGUGAUUUCCACCCCAACCCCGACCGUAUAUACCCCUUUGCCUCCAUUGGCCUCUUGUUCCCUCCCACUGGCUCUGCGACCCAUCUCCAACCCGAGCCCUGCGUAGCAGACUCCUGAUCCGGCUCCAGGCUGGGUUCUGCUUGUGAAGUGAAGCGCCCCCCUCCCCUCCAGGCUCGUGGGGGCCCUUGGUCCCCCACACCAGGCUCACCUACGCACUCCAUCAGGGCGACCUGCCGCGCCACUGUCCUCUGUACCAGGAAAGGGAGCCCUGAGCCACUGCCUGUGGUGCAGUCACUGUCCAGCAGGUCCUGGGGGUAGGGGUGGGGGUGGUCAGGAGCCACUGAGAGGUUGUUCCUGUCCCCCCAGCCCCUCCCCUGUCCCCAACCUGGGUCCUGCUGCUGUGUCUCAGUGAGCCCCUCCCCCUCUCAGCUCUGUGUGACUGGGACCCUGCUUUUCCCACCUGCCACACUCUGGCUGUGUGGCUCCUAGGCACCCACCUCCACCCGGUGUCCCAGGUUCCCGGGGCCCAUACCCCGAGCAUGCUGUCCCUCUGCUCGGAUGCCUUCAGGAUGAUGCUGGACUCGCCCAGCUGGCUGUGCAGGCCUCGGUUCUUCCGCCGCCGCCGGCGGAUGUGCCACAGGGCCAGGGCACCCAGGGCUAUCAGGGCCAGCAAAGCCAGCACAGGGCCCAGCACCAGAGGUCCCCCAACAUGUCCCAGGAUCCUGCCUCCCCCACCCUCCUGGCCAGAGCACGAGAGAAGGACUUGUAGCAGCAGUAGUGGUUGAAGAACUCCGUGGGGCGGCCCCUGCACAGCUCUGGGUCCCGGGUCCCGCAGCUUCGAUGUUCCCGGGACACACCCUCCUCCUGAACCAGCACUACUGUGCACCAGGCCCCCUGGCAGAUCGGCCCCCUGCACUCCGGGCUCUUACAGGUACAGUUCACCAGCGACCCCCCAGAGGACCUCACAGGGUCUCCUGGGAAACACACCAGCAGCUCAUCCAUCCAUGCUGCACCCGGUGUUCGCCCGCUGAGCCCAACAUCCACACCCGCCCCCCUGCCUCUCUGACUUCUCAAAGCCCUUCGCUCGGUCCCACCCUCAGAUCCCCCUUCCCUAGAAGCCUCCCAGGCUGCAACAGAGACUGUGAGAACCUGCCCCUCCCAGUUCCCAAGCCAGAGCCCCUUAGGCCUGACUACCCACACCCUACCUUCUAACCCAGGGACAGCUCUCCACCCUGAGCGAUGGUAAUACAGGGAGGGUCCAGAGCGCUGGGCCCUAGUCUAACUGAAACUCACCAUCUCCCCCUCUGGCUAAGCUCCCUAGUGCCCCCUUCACGCUGGAGCCUCCCAUCCCACCACAGAGGGCAGGCGCUGAAUGGAGCCCAGCUGUUCAUCGGUUCUCUGUCCAGGCCCAAUACUCACCCGGGGUCAGGCCCAAGGCCAUGAGUAGCAUCAGAAGAUCCCUCCUGGGGGCGCCCAAGGCCAUGGUCUCUGGAGAGGAGCAGUUAGACCUGUGAAAUGUGAUCCCCUUGGGUGCCUUUCAGCCACUGACCCCAGUCCCUCCCACCCAGAGGAAAUCACUGGGAGGUGUUUUGGUGGCAGGGAGGGGGGCUGGGGGCAGCGAGGCCUCCUCUGGGCUUUCGGCCUCUGCCUUUGGGGCGGGGCCUGCAGGGGAAGUCCUGGUUCACUUCCCCAUGGAAACCAUCCUGUUAGGGGCAAAGGGUGGGGAGCCAUGUUGAAGUACUCGGAGCUUGGGGAGUCUGGCCCUGCACCCCUGAUGCUGAGCCUGGAC